rnacentral:rRNA from 1 species
AGCGAACGCUGGCGGCAGGCCUAACACAUGCAAGUCGAACGAACUCUUCGGAGUUAGUGGCGGACGGGUGAGUAACACGUGGGAACGUGCCUUUAGGUUCGGAAUAACUCAGGGAAACUUGUGCUAAUACCGCAUGUGCCCUUCGGGGGAAAGAUUUAUCGCCUUUAGAGCGGCCCGCGUCUGAUUAGCGAGUUGGUGAGGUAAAGGCUCACCAAGGCUACGAUCAGUAGCUGGUCUGAGAGGAUGACCAGCCACAUUGGGACUGAGACACGGCCCAAACUCCUACGGGAGGCAGCAGUUGGGAAUCUUGCGCAAUGGGCGAAAGCCUGACGCAGCCAUGCCGCGUGGAUGAUGAAGGUCUUAGGAUUGUAAAAUCCUUUCACCGGUGAAGAUAAUGACUGUAGCCGGAGAAGAAGCCCCGGCUAACUUCGUGCCAGCCGCCGCGGUAAAAC